rnacentral:rRNA from 1 species
AUUGAACGCUGGCGGCAGGCUUAACACAUGCAAGUCGAGCGAGCGGCGGACGGGUGAGCGGUGUCUGAGCACCUGGCUGAUGUAGGGGGAUAACUGCUGGAACCGGUAGAUAAUACCGCUUACCAUCCUAUGUGCCCAGAGGGGAUGAGCUAGUAGGUGGGGUAAUGGCUAUCCUAGGCGACGCUCCCUAGCUGGUCUGAGAGGAUGACCAGCCACACUGGAACUGAGACACGGUCCAGACUCCUACGGGAGGCAGCAGUGGGGAAUAUUGGACAAUGGGCGCAAGCCUGAUGCAGCCACGCCGCGUGUGUGAAGAAGGCCUUCGGGUCGUAAAGCACUUUCAGCGAGGAGGCGUUACUCGCAGAAGAAGCACCGGCUAACUCCGUGCCAGCAGCCGCGGUAAUUC